rnacentral:lncRNA from 1 species
GAAAUUUCAAAUAAACUCAUUUGAAAUUCCCACCAAAAACAAGUCACAUGGGAGGUGUGACCUUUUUCUACUAUGACACCUCCCAAAAACUAUACCUACACCACUCUCCUAAGUCACAUGGACAAUGUGACUUUAUUUUACAUUUUCACACACCUUUAUUUAAUAACCACACCUCCUAAAACUAUACAAGAGUAUUUCAAAGCUUGGCCUUGCCCCUCAUGGGAUGGACUUGGGCUCUUUGGGCUUUGGCCUUCUUGGGCUUGGGCUUGGGCCUCAUCUUUAUUUUAUGUCUUCUUUUAAUUUUGAGAAGACUAGAAGGAAGAACUUCAAAUGUGAGGGUGGAUGUCCUCUUCCUCCAUUAAUAAAAGCCUCCUUUAUUUGAUUCUCAUCA